rnacentral:lncRNA from 1 species
AUUGGAAAUGUAAAUGAGCUAAAUACCUAAUAAAAAAUGGAAAAAAAAAAAAAAAAAAAAGAAUAAACGAUGCAGCUUCUGUAGUAGUCUUUCUCUUUUCCUGUCCUUGCGGAGCUGCGAAUCUCUAGAUUUCCUGAGGAUAAAUGAACAGGCUGCAUAAUACUGCUUCCUACAAAGGCCACCCUCUGCCUUGAGCUCUGUGAGCAUAAUUCUCAGCGACAAGCCACGAUUGAAGAACAUGUGCAAAGCCAAUUGUACAACUCUGCCUGUUUUUCCAGUUACUUAACGAUUUUCAUCAGUGGUGUUUAUUUGUGCGGAAGUAGAAUGGACUCCAAGAGUUUGAAAGCAAUCACAGUAUACCUCUUGCUGGAAAAGUACAAGUGGGACUUGGAAAACUCCUUGAAAUCAUAAAAUCUGUAUAUUUGUGGAAGAAAAAUGGCAAGUAGGGAACACGGUAAAUGGAACAGUGUGCUGUUGAAAGUGCUAGUGGAAACAGCUGAGAAAGCUAGAACAAUAGGUUGCUCACUUUGCUGCUGGCAUUUUGGAAGUAGACGAAGAUUUCUCAGUCAAUAAAGGGAAAAGCAAAGAGCUGAAAUCACUUCAAAAAUUGUAGGGAGAUGAAUUUAAGUUUACAUGUGUUAGGUGACCAUGUUGAUGGCAUAAGACUGUUAAUAUAAUUGGUUGAUUUAGCACAGUGUAGUGUCACGGGAGGGUUACAGCAUUUGGGGACUGCAGAUUUAUUGAGAAAUAUCCUGGAAGUAUCAACGGUGAAAAGAUGCCUUCAAUUUGCAUAAUAUGAUUCAACUAGGAUAAUUAUUUAUUGCUUUACUUCUG